rnacentral:misc_RNA from 1 species
GAAAUGCGAUAAGUAAUGUGAAUUGCAGAAUUCAGUGAAUCAUCGAAUCUUUGAACGCACCUUGCGCUCCUUGGUAUUCCUUGGAGCAUGCCUGUUUGAGUAUCAUGAAAUCUUCAAAUUAAAUCUUUUGUUAACUCAAUUGGUUUCUACUUUGGUAUUGGAGGUCUUUGCAGCUUCACACCUGCUCCUCUUUGUUCAUUAGCUGGAUCUCAGUGUUAUGCUUGGUUCCACUCGGCGUGAUAAGUUAUCUAUCGCUGAGGAUACUGUAAAAGGUGGCCAAGGUAAAUGCAGAUGAACCGCUUCUAAUAGUCCAUUGACUUGGACAAUACUUUUAUGAUCUGAUCUCAAAUCAGGUAGGACUACCCGCUGAACUUAAGC